rnacentral:rRNA from 1 species
GUAUAGACCCGAAACCGGGCGAUCUAUCCAUGAGCAGGUUGAAGGUUAGGUAACACUGACUGGAGGACCGAACCCACUCCCGUUGAAAAGGUAGGGGAUGACUUGUGUAUCGGAGUGAAAGGAUAGCAUAGGACGGCAUUAGUUGGUUCGUCGGGACAGAUAUUUAUAUAACGGCUAGUUUAACACUCUGGAGUGUAUAGCCCGGCGUCAUUUUGGCGCACCAUCGCUGGAUGAAAUGGUAUGGUUUGGCUUCAUAACCUCUGCGGACCGGGCGGAAUUAAAC